AGAAGGUGGAAUACGAGCACCAGCUUAUUCUUCACAUGAGAUAGAUGAACAUGAGAAUGAGCGAGCUAUGGAUCGAUUGUAGAGAUCGAGUCAGCAUUCUCAAGAGGAGGUGAUCGACGCUGACUAGCGCGGCUGGUAAAGGGUACAAUGUUGGAUUUGUGAGUUCCUAGUAGGGAACACAUGGACACGAACCUGCGGCGGCGACGACGAUGAUAUCAACAUGGG